rnacentral:lncRNA from 1 species
AUGGUGGAGCAAUUGCACAACAUGGACUUUCAUCCUCCUAAACUCGCGGGGAGACAUAUCUCCAUCCUACUCUAUGCUGACGAUGCAGCACUGAUUUCAAGAACUCCAAUAGGCCUCAAAAGAGCUUUGAAAUCAUUGGCACAAUAUUGCAGAGAGGAUCAGUUACAACUCAAUUAUCACAAAACAAAAAUCAUGGUGUUUGCCAAAAGACCUAAGCUCCACCAUUGGAAUAUAGAUGAUAAAAAAAUUGAGCAGGUUCCAUGUUUUAAAUAUCUGGGGGUAGUCUUCCACUCUUCAGGCAGCAGAAAAGCACAUGGAGGCUAUGUGGCUGAGAAUGCAUAUAGGAGUUCAUCUGCCAUAUUAAAAUACCUGAGGUCAAAGGGGGGGGGGCAAUUUAUACCCGCAGCUCUCAAACUUUUUGAAGCCAAGUCAAUGGCCCAACUCCUUUAUGGUGCCCAGAUAGGACCUUUUUCUGACUUUGCCCCACUGGAGACUGUCCAAUCCAAAUUUUUAAGAUCAGCCCUACAGGUUCCAAAGUGUGUGUGUAACGCUAUCCUACGCCUGGAGACUGGCUUCUUGAGAGUGGAGGCCAGGGUGUGGAUGGUAAUAUUGAAUUACUGGCUGAGACUAUCCCCCGCACCCCUGGGCCUUGCCCCACUCACUAUGAAGGACAACUUCCAAUCCAGCUGGCAAAAGAAGAUAGUGCACAAAAUUGCAUCUCUUGGUCUAUCCCCAGAACUACUAACCAGCAUGGGAUAUGACCAGGCCAAAUCCCUGGUCAAGCAACGUAUAACAGACAUUGAACACCAAUUAGAUCUGUCCAGUGCCCCAUCCUUCAUCACCAAUGGAGACAGUAGGAGCCAUACCUCCCCUAUGGAAUAUCUUACUAUGUUGGAGGUAGCCAACCAUCGGAGAGCCUUCACUUUGGCACGAUGUCAUGCGCUCCCAUCCGCAGUACUGGAAGGUCGUUACCAGAAGAUUCCAUACUCUGAGAGGCUAUGUCCAUGUGACUCAGGUCAGAUAGAAACAACGGAGCAUGUACUUCUGCAGUGCCUGUUUUACAGAGACAUUCGAACACGUCUCAUCAUGCCAUGGACAACUAAAUACCCAGGAUGUUCUGGACAAUUUUACGUAACCUUAUUGCUCUCAGAUACCAUCUCAGCUGUGACAUAUAAUGUCGCCAAGUUCUGCACAGCUGCAAUUAAAAUCCGGCAGAUGAUGAUUGAGAGCCAAAAGAACUAA